GGGAGUUUAAGCUCUAGCUUCAGCCUGAUGUUUUUAACCAACUAGGCCCGCCAACCCACAAGCAGAUAGAAAAUAAGCUGAUUCUAUAGGACAGAAAAAGGAAGAGGGCAGGGGUCAUAAGGGGAUGUAAGCAUAAGAUACCCAAGCCAGAAACAGCAACCCUUCCAGGUCCCCUUCCCCCACGUGGAAGCUUUCCUUUCACUUUCGCUUUAAUAAAUCUUGCCGCAGCACACUCUCUAAUCGAGCUGUAACACUCGCCACUGCCGUCCACGGCUUCAUUCCUUGAAGCCGUGAGACCACGAACCCUUCGAUUGAGAAGAACCUUCGGUCGGAAGAAGACUUCUCGUCUCAGUAACAAUAACAAGAAAAACAGCCUAGACUAGACGCACAUCAGGAAGACAGUGUCGGCCACAGCCGCAGAAUAAACAUGUGGAGAAGGUCAUUGAUCACCUUGACUGAAGCACUGCAGACAAGAUAAAGACAGCCUGAUGCAGAGGAAGAUUGAGGACUAAGGGGCUUCAUCCACAGUUAAUCCCGUCAUGUAUUGACCCGGAAACAUCAUCUCAUUUGCCUAUAAGACAGAGAGAGAGAAUGAUAGAAAUGCUGGAAGAACGAGCCUUGGGGCGGUAUCGCCCAGAUCUGAAUCCACACAGCAGCUGCUUCGGUCCCUGUAACUCAAGGCUUCCUCUUAAUCCUCUGUCCUCCAUCAACACCUGGCUGAGCAGGAACAACUAUGACCUAGGACCAGGGCCUUCAGGAAUCUUCACCCCUAACUUGAACUUCAUAACACUGGAGAGAGAGACUGUGGAAUGGAAUGACUCUCCAGAGCUGCAGAUUGAAGGCAUAUUUUCAUCUGACUUUGAUCUCAAUGGCGGGAACACCUUCAUGGCCCCUUUAUAGCUGGAUGAUCAUUUCCUGUUCUCUCCACCAUGGCCACCUGGUCCAAGCCACCAUCUUCAUGCACCUGGAUACCUGCCAUAACCUCAGCUGACCUUUCCUGUGUCCAUUCUUGUUCCUUUGGGCCCAGUCUCCUCGCUCAUAGCAGCAGAAUGAGUCUAUUAAAAAGUGAAACAAUUUCUGUCACUUCCUGGCUCAAAAGUCUCCAAUAGUUUCCCCAUGGAUUGGAAUAAAAUGUAGGUUCUAACCAUGGGGUACCAUGUAAGUUUAGGUUCACCUGUAAGUCACAGGAAAAAAAAAUAUAUAUAUAUAUAUGUAUAUAUCACACACACAC
rnacentral:lncRNA from 10 species